AAACCGGUUGAUCCUGCCGGACCUGACCGCUAUCGGGGUGGGGCUAAGCCAUGCGAGUCGCGCGCCCGGGGCGCCGGGCGCGGCGCACGGCUCAGUAACACGUGCCCAACCUACCCUCGGGAGGGGGACAACCCCGGGAAACUGGGGCUGAUCCCCCAUAGGGGAAGGGCGCUGGAAGGCCCCUUCCCCCAAAGGGAUCUCGGGCGAUCUCCCGGGAUCCGCCCGAGGAUGGGGGCACGGCCCAUCAGGUUGUUGGCGGGGUAACGGCCCGCCAAGCCGAAGACGGGUAGGGGCGGUGAGAGCCGUGAGCCCCGAGAUGGGCACUGAGACAAGGGCCCAGGCCCUACGGGGUGCAGCAGGCGCGAAUACUCCGCAAUGCGGGCAACCGCGACGGGGCCACCCCGAGUGCCGGGCGAAGAGCCCGGCUUUUGCCCGGUGUAAGGAGCCGGGCGAAUAAGCGGGGGGUAAGUCUGGUGUCAGCCGCCGCGGUAAUACCAGCCCCGCGAGUGGUCAGGGUGAUUACUGGGCUUAAAGCGCCCGUAGCCGGCCCGGCAAGUCGCUCCUGAAAUCCCCGGGCUCAACCCGGGGGCCGGGGGCGAUACUGCCGGGCUAGGGGGCGGGAGAGGCCGCCGGUACUCCGGGGGUAGGGGCGAAAUCCUAUAAUCCCCGGAGGACCACCAGUGGCGAAAGCGGGCGGCCAGAACGCGCCCGACGGUGAGGGGCGAAAGCCGGGGGAGCAAAGGGGAUUAGAUACCCCUGUAGUCCCGGCUGUAAACGAUGCGGGCUGGCUGUCGGCCGGGCUUAGGGCCCGGCCGGUGGCGUAGGGAAACCGUUAAGCCCGCCGCCUGGGGAGUACGGCCGCAAGGCUGAAACUUAAAGGAAUUGGCGGGGGGGCACCACAAGGGGUGAAGCUUGCGGCUUAAUUGGAGUCAACGCCGGAAACCUUACCCGGGGCGACAGCAGGAUGAAGGCCAGGCUAACGACCUUGCCGGACGAGCUGAGAGGAGGUGCAUGGCCGUCGUCAGCUCGUGCCGUGAGGUGUCCGGUUAAGUCCGGCAACGAGCGAGACCCCCACCCCUAGUUGCUUCCCCGCUCUUCGGGACGGGGGGCACACUAGGGGGACUGCCGGCGUAAGCCGGAGGAAGGAGGGGGCCACGGCAGGUCAGUAUGCCCCGAAACCCCGGGGCUGCACGCGAGCUGCAAUGGCGGGGACAGCGGGAUCCGACCCCGAAAGGGGGAGGCAAUCCCGUAAACCCCGCCCCAGUAGGGAAUCGAGGGCUGCAACUCGCCCUCGUGAACGUGGAAUCCCUAGUAACCGCGUGUCACCAACGCGCGGUGAAUACGUCCCUGCCCCUUGCACACACCGCCCGUCGCACCACCCGAGGGAGUUCUCUGCGAGGCCCCUUGCCUGGGGCAACCCGGGUGGGGGGACGAGCAGAGAACUCCCGAGGGGGGUGAAGUCGUAACAAGGUAGCCGUAGGGGAACCUGCGGCUGGAUCACCUCCU
rnacentral:rRNA from 1 species